rnacentral:lncRNA from 1 species
CCGAAGCUUACUGGCGGCGGCGCUCUCGGGUGCGGCGGCUCUCCAGUGAGGUUCGUGUUUUGGUGAUUCGGCUCCGAUCAACCUGUAGAGAAAAGAAUGGUGAUCACGGUGAUAUAAAAAUUGCAUCAAACGGAGGCCGGGAAGGGCCUCAUCGGAGGCAAAAACCGAGGAGGGGCGCGGCGGCGCCGCUGGGUUUUGGCAGUGUUUUUCGGUCGUUUGGCCGGGAUUUUAGCUCCGAUUUGGCCACAGGAGAAAUCAGCAUGGAAAAACGAGUCGGGAGUAUGAAAUUUACCUCGAUCAGCGGUCGAAAAUCUCCUCGGUGCGGCGGCGGGUGGCGGCGGCGGGUGGCGGCGGCCGGCGUCUGGUUCGUCUUCUCUGGCGAGGGCAGGCAGCUAGAAUUUUUUGUGGUCAGGUGUGGGGGUUCUAUUUAUACCCUUUUGCCUUUUGAUCUCAGCCGUCCAUUUUGAUUUAAUCUGGGUCGUCUGUUUUUGAUUGAAUCUAGGCCGUCCGUGCGAUUGCAUCUGGGCUGUCCG